rnacentral:rRNA from 1 species
GUGGGGAAUAUUAGGCAAUGGGGGAAACCCUGACCUAGCAACGCCGCGUGAAGGAUGAAGGUUUUCGGAUUGUAAACUUCUUUGGCCCGGGACGAUAAUGACGGUACCGGGAGAACAAGCCACGGCUAACUACGUGCCAGCAGCCGCGGUAAUACGUAGGUGGCAAGCGUUGUCCGGAUUUACUGGGUGUAAAGGGCGAGUAGGCGGGGAUGCAAGUCAGAUGUGAAAUACCGAGGCUUAACCUCGGAACUGCAUUUGAAACUGCAUUUCUUGAGUGAUGGAGAGGCAGGCGGAAUUCCCGGUGUAGCGGUGAAAUGCAUAGAGAUCGGGAGGAACACCAGUGGCGAAGGCGGCCUGCUGGACAUUAACUGACGCUGAGGCGCGAAAGUGUGGGGAGCAAACAGGAUUAGAAACCCGAGUAGUCC